GGGAGCGUGGCGGAAUCGGUAGACGCACCAGACUUAAAAUCUGUUGGCCAUUGCGGUCGUGAGGGUUCAAGUCCCUCUGCUCCUAUCA
rnacentral:tRNA from 1 species